rnacentral:rRNA from 1 species
AAACAUCACCUCUAGCAUUACUAGUAUUAGAGGCACUGCCUGCCCAGUGACAAUUGUUAAACGGCCGCGGUAUCCUGACCGUGCAAAGGUAGCAUAAUCAUUUGUUCCUUAAAUAGGGACUUGUAUGAAUGGCCACACGAGGGUUUAACUGUCUCUUACUUCUAAUCAGUGAAAUUGACCUUCCCGUGAAGAGGCGGGAAUACACAAAUAAGACGAGAAGACCCUAUGGAGCUUUAAUUUAAUAACCCAAAAGAAAUUUCAUUUCAUUAACUUAACAAAAUUUUCAAACUGGGUUAGAAAUUUAGGUUGGGGUGACCUCGGAAAAUAGAAAAACUUCCGAGAAACACGUACUAAGUCUAACAAGACAAAGUAAAUUAUAUAAAUUGAUCCAGUCUAACUGAUCAACGGAAUAAGUUACCCUAGGGAUAACAGCGCAAUCCUAUUUCAGAGUCCAUAUCGACAAUAGGGUUUACGACCUCGAUGUUGGAUCAGGACAUCCUAAUGGUGCAGCAGCUAUUAAUGGUUCGUUUGUUCAACGAUUAAAGUCCUACAUGAU